AGGGGUUCGAAUCCCCUAGGGGACGCCACUACAGGCAUCAAAUAGAAUGAAAGGCUCAGUCGAAAGACUGGGCCUUUUGUUUUAUCUGUAGUCUGUCGGUGAGCACUCUCCUGAGGAGGACAAAUCCGCCGGGAGCGGAUUUGAACGUUGCGCAGCAACGGCCCGGAGGGUGGCGGGCAGGACGCCCUCCAU
rnacentral:rRNA from 1 species